rnacentral:rRNA from 1 species
AACGCGAAGAACCUUACCUGGGCUCGAAGCGUAGUGGACCGAGGUAGAAAUAUCUCUUCCCCGCAAGGGGCUGCUACGUAGGUGCUGCAUGGCUGUCGUCAGCUCGUGUCGUGAGAUGUUGGGUUAAGUCCCGCAACGAGCGCAACCCUUAUUGCCAGUUGCCAUCGGGUCAAGCCGGGCACUCUAGUGAAACCGCCCGGGAUAACCGGGAGGAAGGUGGGGAUGACGUCAAGUCCUCAUGGCCUUUAUGUCCAGGGCUACACACGUGCUACAAUGGUCGGUACAAACCGUCGCAAACCCGUGAGGGGGAGCUAAUCGGAAAAAGCCGGCCUCAGUUCGGAUUGGAGUCUGCAACCCGACUCCAUGAAGCUGGAAUCGCUAGUAAUCGCGGAUCAGAACGCCGCGGUGAAUACGUUCCCGGGCCUUGUACACACCGUAGAGAC